AAACUAUUUAUUCUUGUUUUGAAAACAAGAUUUAAGAAUCUAUCUUGUAGUUUUA
rnacentral:tRNA from 1 species